AGGCUCUCCAACGUGAUAAUCUGCAUCAUCAUUUUAAACUAAUAAUUUUCCACUACAUUAAUUAUCGUGGUGGAGGGGUUUGCGUGCCUGUUGAUUCUGGGAGUCGUCUUAUCUGCAUAUCAGCUUUGGUCUAAAGACAAAUUGGUCCCAGAGACGGAUCAGACUAAAUGCAAUUCAAAUAUACACCGUUGGCCAGGGAUGGAAAAAGUACUACAAUAUUCUUCUUAAGUAAAAGAAAACUUGCUUAAACUGCACUCAGAUACAAACAAAACGUAGAUCAGUUAAAAUCUGCUCUCAGUAAAUGAUGAAGAUGUUAUAUGAUAACGUCAUGUGAUUUGACUCUUAAAUCAAAGACCAGCUUUCCAAAAUAAAGUGCAUUAACAUGUCAGUGUUCACAGUGGAACAUUUAUUUUCUAUAGACGCACUCUGCAGCCUAAUAAAGCAUCAAUAAGGCAGCACAGAGAUCUAGAGACAAUAUAAACUCCACAGCAGCUGCUGCAGAUA